UGCAAGGUGGAGCAGUGGUUAGCACUGUUUUCUUGCAAUGAAAAGGUCAUAGGUUCAAAUCCCUGCCUGAGGUCU